UAGGUAGCAAUACUUAUUGAUGGCGACCGGCGCACGGGUGAGUAACGCGUAUGCAACUUACCUAUCAGAGGGGGAUAACCCGGCGAAAGUCGGACUAAUACCGCAUGAAGCAGGGGCCCCGCAUGGGGAUAUUUGCUAAAGAUUCAUCGCUGAUAGAUAGGCAUGCGUUCCAUUAGGCAGUUGGCGGGGUAACGGCCCACCAAACCGACGAUGGAUAGGGGUUCUGAGAGGAAGGUCCCCCACAUUGGAACUGAGACACGGUCCAAACUCCUACGGGAGGCAGCAGUGAGGAAUAUUGGUCAAUGGGCGAGAGCCUGAACCAGCCAAGUAGCGUGAAGGAUGACUGCCCUAUGGGUUGUAAACUUCUUUUAUACGGGAAUAAAGUGAGGCACGUGUGCCUUUUUGUAUGUACCGUAUGAAUAAGGAUCGGCUAACUCCGUGCCAGCAGCCGCGGUAAUACGGAGGAUCCGAGCGUUAUCCGGAUUUAUUGGGUUUAAAGGGAGCGUAGAUGGAUGUUUAAGUCAGUUGUGAAAGUUUGCGGCUCAACCGUAAAAUUGCAGUUGAUACUGGAUAUCUUGAGUGCAGUUGAGGCAGGCGGAAUUCGUGGUGUAGCGGUGAAAUGCUUAGAUAUCACGAAGAACUCCGAUUGCGAAGGCAGCUUACUGGACUGUAACUGACGCUGAUGCUCGAAAGUGUGGGUAUCAAACAGGAUUAGAUACCCUGGUAGUCCACACAGUAAACGAUGAAUACUCGCUGUUUGCGAUAUACUGCAAGCGGCCAAGCGAAAGCGUUAAGUAUUCCACCUGGGGAGUACGCCGGCAACGGUGAAACUCAAAGGAAUUGACGGGGGC
rnacentral:rRNA from 1 species